CAGCCGCCGCGGUAAUACGAAGGGGGCUAGCGUUGCUCGGAAUGACUGGGCGUAAAGGGCGCGUAGGCGGCGGCCAAAGUCAGGCGUGAAAUUCCCGGGCUCAACCUGGGGGCUGCGUUUGAUACUUGAUUGCUAGAGUGGGGAAGAGAGUCGUGGAAUUCCCAGUGUAGAGGUGAAAUUCGUAGAUAUUGGGAAGAACACCGGUGGCGAAGGCGGCGACCUGGUCCUUGACUGACGCUGAGGCGCGAAAGCGUGGGGAGCAAACAGGAUUAGAUACCCGGGUAGUCCCUGUCUCUUAUAC
rnacentral:rRNA from 1 species